ACCUUUUCACAAAAUGAAAUCUUCGCAUUGUACGGUCUACAACAAUGAGGUCAAUAGGAUUAUUGCCUCAAUUGAUUAUGAUUACAAAUUUUAAUUAUAUGCCAGUUAUUGCCUCAAAAAAUUGUAAUAACGCUUAUGUCAAAACCAGCGAUUUUAUCGACACUUACUCUGAUGCUGAUGCUCUUCUAAUACAAGAAGUCCACUACCUCACUGCUGUAUCUUGCAUUCCCAAUGAUCGUACCAUCAUUGCCAAUGGCAGAAGUGCAACUAUCAUCUAUACCAACGAUCUCAUCUCUUCUCUUCGCAUUGGAACUGAGAGUAUCAUCACUCGAGUGAACCUUAAUGGAUCCCCUACAACUCUCGUUAAUUUAUAUCUCAGCCCAAGUCUCUCUGAACAAGAUUUUGAACAUGAAGUUAAUAUCAUAAUAAGAGCACUCUCUGGCUUCAGACAAUCUCCCAUUAUCUUAAUGGGUGAUGCUAAUUCCACGCAUCCAUCAUGGUCUUUUAUCAUCAAUGAUCAUAAUCAUCAGAAGGGACUUUACCUCCACUCGAGAUUGGUUGAAACAGGCCUGUCCUGUCUCAUCACUCCUUCACCUGACAAUUUUACCUUUACCUCUCAUCAAGGAAAUCACUCGUGGCUUGAUACUGUCUUUAGUAAUAUCAAAACUACCCAUUCGAAACCCAAAACUCAUAUAUUUGUGGACUCCGACAAUAAUGAUCAUCGCGGUAUAACUCUAAAGUAUAAACAUGGUAGAUCUCUACACAAUAGAAAACAUCGUAAAAUCCUUGAUUAUAAAAAUUAUUUUAAUGCCGUCAAUGAUCUUAUCAAAUCACAGCCUGAUCCAACCUCCUUUACUGAUUCUACAGACUUAGAUAAAUCCCUGUUAACCCUAAACAAAACUUUUGCUGAAAGCAUCAAAACUUUCACCAAAACAAUCAAGAUAACGUCACCUCUAAAACCUGACAAUGAACAUCAUCAUCUUAUUAAGAUCCUUAAAUCCCUCAAACUUGCGAUCACCAUCUCGCCUGAUAAAGAAACUCUUGGAUGUCUUAUUAAAUCCAUCAAAAAAGAAUUCUACAACAAACUUAAAGACAAACUCAGUGACACCUUUGAUCUAGCUAAUGAUAGCAGAAAUACUUGGUCCAAGAUUAAGAAGUUAUUAAAAUCUAAAAAUGAAGUUAAAGACUCCUUUGACUCCAACGUUAAAGAUUUCUUAAAAGACUUCUCAUCUGAUCUCAUACCAGAUAAUCCAUCAAUAAGAAUUACCCUUCGCAAGCCUGAUAACCAAAUUAUCUCCUUCAUGGAAAUUCUUAAUAUAGCUAAACAAGUUAACAAUUCUGCCCCUGGACCAGACUGGCUUAAGAAAUCUACCGCCAUCGAUCUGAUUAAUCUCAAUGAACUCUUUUUCACAAACUUAUACAACACUUUGAUUUUCAAUAGCUACUUUCCCUUCGCCUGGAAGAUCUCGAGAGGCACUCUUAUCCCGAAAAAUGACGGUGAACGUCCUCGACUUAUUCAAUGCACUGGUGUUUUCAGUAAAAUUCUGGAAAUCUACAUUAAUAACAUCAUUGACAAACAUUAUCACAUUGACAAAUAUAUUAAUCAACAUGCCUAUUUAAAAGGUCGUUCCAUUGCCACCUGUCUCCUAUCCAUUUUAGAUGAACCUUAUAAAUCUCACCCGACCAUCAUACAAUCGGAUGUAAUAGGAGCCUUUGACAACAUCAAACAAUCUUCCUUUGUCAAAGAGCUACAACCUCUACUUCCGAAUCACAUUCUCAGACUGAUGAUCUGUUUCCUAUUAGAUCGACACUGCGUCAUUAUACACAAUAACAAAACCUGGGCACAAAAAAUCAAGAACGGUAUUGCUGUCCCUCAAGGCAGCAUAUUAGGUCCUAAACUUUUUAUCAUUGGCCUCAACUCUACUAUGAGAAUUAUCUCACAGCAACUCGCUCAAAUUAAACCAGCCUGGACCUACUCCUACAAAAAUGUUAGAGACUUUUUCAGACUCGCUAUCUAUGCCGAUGAUCUAUUCAUUACCAUUAAGCCACUCUCUGGUUAUACACUUGCUAAUAAUGACCAACACUGCCAAAACAUCAGUUACCUUAUUAAUUCUGCAAUGAACAUCAUCAACAAAAACCUCUCUGAUAUUGGACUCAGUGUUUCUGGGUCUAAAUCGAAGAUUCUAUCAUCACCCUCCACUGUAAAUAUCAUUAACUCAAUUACCAGAAUUACUGCCUCUAAUCAAGGUAACUUUCUGGGUCUCCCAAUUGUUCUUGUACCGCAUCCUAAAGUAUGUAUCAAUACUUUGGUAAAGAACGUUGAGGAGUCAGCAAAAAAAUACCUCUUCUCAGCCAAACUUCUGAAAUCCUUACCUCCUAACAUUGUCAAAAUCAUUAUAUCAUCUCUCAUCACCAGUAAAGUCCUCCCCUAUUCUGCCAUCAUUACACCAUAUCUCCUCAAUAAUGUCUCUCUCUCUAGAAGAUUAGACAAAAUUAUCAUGCAUCAAUUUAGAUCUGUCUUCGGUAUAAGACCUAAUGCUUGCACAUUGGCCUGUUAUGCCCUUCUUGGCAUUAAGCCUGUCUGGCUACAGAUAAUUCAAUGUGGUGCCAAAACACUGCUUGAUCUCUCCAUCAACCAACGUUGUCUCGGGAGAAACAAGCUUUAUACUGAUUAUUUUCCCUCAAUAAGAUCUGACAAACUACUCUGGAAUAACUGUCUACAGGCAAAAGCUAUUGCUGAUGACUUUAAUAAUAAAAUCUGGACUAAAAGGAUUGCUAAUUCAUCCUACACUAACCUCCAUCUUAUUCUCAAGGAAUGGCAAUGCCUCAAUUCAACUGGAAAAAUGAGUAAUACCGACUACAUGGCCAUUGGCUACUACAAUUGGAUAACUGAAAAAAUCACUUGCUCGUGUGGCCUUACAGGACCUGAUAAUCUGCAUUGGUUAGUUCACUGUCCAAAAUAUGAUAGUCUACGGGCCAAUCUAACCUUAAUUAUUCACCUAAAAUACAAGGACAAGAUAAACAUCCCUCUAUUAUGCUUAAAAUCCCCGAAACUUUGUUUUUACCUCACCAGAACUAUCUUUAGAAAUGAAGUACUUCCGUACAUCAAACACCCUAAAUAACCUUUUUAUCAUCUCCAUUUGAACUAUAUAUACUUUCCCUGGAACCUCCUAUUCAUCUUCUUAUAUUAUCACUAAUUUUGUAAUAUUUUCCUACAUUUCCAUAUUGAACCAAACCAUUGUAUCUCUCCCUCAUUAACGGCGCUGGUAUAAGCCGUAAGUUGUAUUCCCUUUCGAUGCAACUGACCCACUCCCCGGAGUAUCAUGUAACUAACAGAGAGCCAUCUAUCUAGCCUCAGCGUAAAAACAACCUAAACAAAAAUACUAUUUUGUAAAAAUAGUGUUUAGCCGUAGUUUUAGUUAAAGUAAAUUGACAUUUUUAAAAGAUGAUUAAACUAUGAUGUAGCCCCUUAAAUUGUUUCAAUUUGACCGUAAGAUGACUUUAAAGAAGAGACAAUCCAUCAACCCUCAAAUGGAUUAAAUCUGUUAUUGAAUAAUCAAUGUAAAACUGUUAUGUUUUACCAUGUUUUUUUGUAUCUGUGUCAAUUGAUCCAUCCAUCCAUAACUGUCAAAUAGUGAAAAGAGGCAACAAAAAACCCAGAUUAUUGCCAACAAUUUUGAUUUCAACA